GAUGAACGCUGGCGGCGUGCCUAAUACAUGCAAGUCGAACGCAUGGAGAAAGGUGUUUCCACUUUUCAGGUGGGGGCCGACGGGUGGAUAAACAGGUGGAAACCUUCCUAUAAGACUGGGAUAACUACGUGAAAACGGAUCCUAAUCCCGAAAAUAUUUUAAUGCCCCAUGAUCCAAAGUUAAAAACGGCCUUGGCGUCACCUAUAGAUGGAUCCGCGGUGCAUUAGCUAGUUGGUGGGGUAAAGGCUUACCAAGACAACGAUGCAUAGCCGACUUGAGAGAGUGAUCGGCCACACUGGAACUGAGACACGGCCCAAACUCCUACGGGAGGCAGCAGUAGGGAAUCUUCCGCAAUGGGCGAAAGCCUGAUGGAGCAACGCCGCGUGUGUGAUGAAGGCUUUCGGAUCGUAAAGCACUGUUAUAAGGGAAGAACAGCUAGGAAAGGAAAUGUUCAUAGCUUGACGGUACCAAAUCAGAAAGCCACGGCUAAAUACGUG
rnacentral:rRNA from 1 species